rnacentral:rRNA from 1 species
GAUGAACGCUAGCGGCAGGCUUAAUACAUGCAAGUCGAGGGGCAGCAGUUUUGUAGCAAUACAGAAGCUGGCGACCGGCAAACGGGUGCGGAACACGUACGCAACCUUCCUUUAACUGGAAGAUAGCCCACCGAAAGGUGGAUUAAUACUCCAUAACAUAUUGAAGAGGCAUCUUAUUGAUAUUAAAGCUACGACGGUUAAAGAUGGGCGUGCGUCUGAUUAGGUAGUUGGCGGGGUAACGGCCCACCAAGCCUUCGAUCAGUAGGUGAGGUGAGAGCAUGAUCAGCCACACGGGCACUGAGACACGGGCCCGACUCCUACGGGAAGCAGCAGUAAGGAAUAUUGGUCAAUGGACGCAAGUCUGAACCAGCCAUGCCGCGUGGAGGAUGAAGGCCCUCUGGGUUGUAAACUUCUUUUCUUCGGGACGAAACCCCUGUUUCUACGGGGACUGACGGUACCAGAGGAAUAAGCACCGGCUAACUCCGUGCCAGCCGCCGCCGUAAGAC